GAGCUGUGGCUCAGUGGUAGAGCAUCUGAAUCGCACGCAGGAGGUCCCGGGUUCAAGCCCCAUCAGCAUCU
rnacentral:tRNA from 1 species